AACGAACGCUGGCGGCAGGCCUAACACAUGCAAGUCGAGCGCGCCUUCGGGUGAGCGGCGGACGGGUGAGUAACGCGUGGGAAUAUGCCCUUCACUGCGGAAUAGCCCCGGGAAACUGGGAGUAAUACCGCAUACGCCCUUCGGGGGAAAGAUUUAUCGGUGAAGGAUUAGCCCGCGUUGGAUUAGGUAGUUGGUGGGGUAAAAGCCUACCAAGCCGACGAUCCAUAGCUGGUUUGAGAGGAUGAUCAGCCACACUGGGACUGAGACACGGCCCAGACUCCUACGGGAGGCAGCAGUGGGGAAUCUUAGACAAUGGGGGAAACCCUGAUCUAGCCAUGCCGCGUGAGUGACGAAGGCCCUAGGGUCGUAAAGCUCUUUCGCCAGGGAUGAUAAUGACAGUACCUGGUAAAGAAGUCCCGGCUAACUCCGUGCCAGCCGCCGCCGUAACAC
rnacentral:rRNA from 1 species